rnacentral:rRNA from 1 species
AGUGAACGCUGGCGGCGUGCUUAACACAUGCAAGUCGAACGAAGCACCUUAUUCUGAUUUCUUCGGAAUGAAAAAUUUGGUGACUGAGUGGCGGACGGGUGAGUAACGCGUGGGUAACCUGCCUCAUACAGGGGGAUAACAGUUAGAAAUGACUGCUCAUACCGCAUAAGACCACAGCACCGCAUGGUGCAGGGGUAAAAACUCCGGUGGUAUGAGAUGGACCCGCGUCUGAUUAGGUAGUUGGUGGGGUAACGGCCUACCAAGCCGACGAUCAGUAGCCGACCUGAGAGGGUGACCGGCCACAUUGGGACUGAGACACGGCCCAAACUCCUACGGGAGGCAGCAGUGGGGAAUAUUGCACAAUGGGGGAAACCCUGAUGCAGCGACGCCGCGUGAGCGAUGAAGUAUUUCGGUAUGUAAAGCUCUAUCAGCAGGGAAGAAAAUGACGGUACCUGACUAAGAAGCACCGGCUAAAUACGUGCCAGCCGCCGCCGUAA